rnacentral:rRNA from 1 species
CAAUAGCGUAUAUUAAAGUUGUUGCGGUUAAAAAGCUCGUAGUUGGAUCUCGGCAGGCAGGGGGUGGUUCGCUCUUAGCGCUACUGCCCCAUUUGCCUGUGUGAUUGGCGGAGGUUUCGGGGUGCUCUUCGUUGAGUGACCCGGGGCGCCGUCAGGUUUACUUUGAAAAAAUUAGAGUGCUCAAAGCAGGCUUUUCACGCUUGAAUAUUCGUGCAUGGAAUAAUGGAAUAGGAACUCGUUUCUAUUUUGUUGGUUUUCGGAAAUCGAGUUAAUGAUUAAUAGGGACAAUUGGGGGCAUUAGUAUUCAGACGACAGAGGUGAGAUUCUUGGACCGUCUGAAGACUAACUACUGCGAAAGCAUUUGCCAAGAGUGUUUUCAUUAA